UUGACAUCCACGGAAUUUGGCAGAGAUGCCUUAGUGCCUUCGGGAACCGUGAGACAGGUGCUGCAUGGCUGUCGUCAGCUCGUGUUGUGAAAUGUUGGGUUAAGUCCCGCAACGAGCGCAACCCUUAUCCUUUGUUGCCAGCGAUUCGGUCGGGAACUCAAAGGAGACUGCCGGUGAUAAACCGGAGGAAGGUGGGGAUGACGUCAAGUCAUCAUGGCCCUUACGGCCAGGGCUACACACGUGCUACAAUGGCGCAUACAAAGAGAAGCGACCUCGCGAGAGCAAGCGGACCUCAUAAAGUGCGUCGUAGUCCGGAUUGGAGUCUGCAACUCGACUCCAUGAAGUCGGAAUCGCUAGUAAUCGUAGAUCAGAAUGCUACGGUGAAUACGUUCCCGGGCCUUGUACACACCGCCCGUCACACCAUGGGAGUGGGUUGCAAAAGAAGUAGGUAGCUUAACCUUCGGGAGGGCGCUUACCACUUUGUGAUUCAUGACUGGGGUGAAGUCGUAACAAGGUAAGCGUAGCGAG
rnacentral:rRNA from 1 species